rnacentral:rRNA from 1 species
UACGGAGGGUGCAAGCGUUAUCCGGAUUUACUGGGUUUAAAGGGUGCGUAGGCGGCUUAUUAAGUCAGGGGUGAAAGACGGUGGCUCAACCAUCGCAGUGCCCUUGAUACUGAUGAGCUUGAAUACACUUGAGGUAGGCGGAAUGUGACAAGUAGCGGUGAAAUGCAUAGAUAUGUCACAGAACACCAAUUGCGAAGGCAGCUUACUAAGGUGCAAUUGACGCUGAGGCACGAAAGCGUGGGGAUCAAACAGG